GGCUGCAACUCGCCUACAUGAAGCCGGAAUCGCUAGUAAUCGCGGAUCAGAAUGCCGCGGUGAAUACGUUCCCGGGUCUUGUACACACCGCCCGUCACACCAUGGGAGCCGGAAAUGCCCGAAGUCAGUGACCCAACCAAUAAGGAGGGAGCUGCCGAAGGCAGGUCUGGUGACUGGGGUGAAGUCGUAACAAGGUAAC
rnacentral:rRNA from 1 species